rnacentral:tRNA from 1 species
ACCUAGCUGGUUCAGUCAGUAUAGCAUGAGACUCUUGAUCUCAGGGUUGUGAGUUUGAGCCCCAUAUUGGGUA